GGCCCUGCAGGACAGGAGGGCACCCAUCAUAACAGGCAGGGACUAGUUUGUAAGUCCCCACCCUCUCCUUGGCACAUCUCAGUGGCCUUCUAGGUGAUGCUCAUAGCAGUGCUAGACCAUGAGCCAAGGAACUGGAGCUAGCCGAGGGAGGGAAGCAUUUCUUCACAAAGGGAAAAUCAAAUCUUUGUUUUUAAAGGGUAGAUCUGAUUUUUGGAAAUGGCCAGAAGAAAUUUUGCAUGGAAGCUAUGAUUCAGCCCAAACCUGAGACAGUGGUACCAACAUGCUCUCUCUUGUUCCCUGCUACGUUGCUGACAUGUAAAGGAGUGCCUGGUCUGCCACAGUAACUGUUCAAACACAUCUGUUAGGUAAGUGAAUGAUCACAGAUAAUUUUUCUUUCUCUCCAACUAGACUAUGUCUCUACUGAGGCAGGGUCCUUGCCUUGCUCAUGUCUGUAUCUACAACAUCCAGAGGUGCCUUGUCACAAACUACCAAGUGGCAGAGCUAACACAUACCUAUACACUGGGUGCAGUGGCUCACACCUGUAAUCCCAGCACUUAGCACAGCCAAGGCAGGAGGAUCGCUUAAGGCCAGGAGUUUGAGACCAGCCUGGGCAAUAUUGUGAGACCCUUUCUCUAUAAAACAAGUACAAAAAUCAGCUGGGUAUCGUGGUGUGCACCAAUAGUCCCAGCUACUCUGGAGGCUGAGGUGGGAGAAUGGCUUGAUCCCAGGAGUUCAAGGUUAACAGUGAACUAUGAUCAUGCCACUGCAUUCCAGUUUGGGUGACAGAGUAAGACCCUGUUUCAAAAACAAACAAAUAAUAAACAGACAACCUCCCAACCCUCCCACCUAUCUGAUAAAGUAGAAGGGCCAAAUAUUUAACUUUCUUCUGCAAAGGUGAAGAAGCCAACAGGGGCUGCUUAGUCACAGAAAUCCCUAUGGCUUUUUGGAGGUAUUAGUAGAUGGAAAGUUGGAGGGGGCUUUGUGAACCAGUCACUUCUCUCUGUCUUAAAAGUCCACUGUGGGUGGGGCGUGGUGGCUUACGCCUGUAAUCCCAGCACUUUGGGAGGCUAAGGUGGGCAGGAGUUCAAGACCAGCCUGGCCAACAUGGUGAAACUCUGGCUCUACUAAAAAUACAAAAAUGAGCUCAGCGUGGAGGCGGCCGCCUGUAAUCCCAACUACUCGGGGGGCUGAGGCAGGAGAAUUGCUUAAACCCAGGAGGUGGAGGUUGUGGUGAGCUGAGAUUGUACCACUGUACUCAAGCCUGGGCAACAGAGUGAGACUCUGUCACAAACAAACAAACAAAAAACACUGUGAUGCUAAGAGAAGAACCAAGUGAGAGACUCUAGAGAAUAGAGAGAAAAUAUGGGGAGAGAGUAUAUAUGCAAGGAUGUGUCCCUCUUGGACCAUUAGCUAAUUCCUCUAAUCAGAGGCUAGGUAUCAUAUACAUACAUACAUGAUAUAUAUAUUUGGAGGUGGGACAUUUGGGUAGAGCCCUCACGAAUGAGUUUAGUACUCUCAUCAGAACAGGCUGCAGAGAGCUCCCUCGCCCCUUCGGCUAUGCGAGGUUUCAGUGAGAAGGUGGCUGUCUGUGAACCAGGAAGUAGGUCCUCAUCAGACACCAAAUCUGCUAGUGCCUUGAUCUUGGACUUCCCAGUUUCCAAGACUGUGAGAACUAAAUUGUUGUUUAUAAGCUGCCCAGUUCAUGGUACUUUGUUAGAGCAGCUCUAAUGGACUAAGAUGAUCCACAUUUAUAAUACUAUAUAUUUAUAUGCUUGUCUGUCAGCCUAUUCCCAUUAGAAUAUAAACUCCAUGGGGGCAGGUGGUAGGAAGUUGCUAAUUUAUAUGGUAGUUAGGAGAGACAUUCUGAAAUGGUGAAAUCUGAGCAAGGACCUUGAGGCAGAACAGCAAACAGCACAUGUAGGAUUUAGCAGGAAGGCCAAUGUGUCAGAACAAAGUGAAUGAGGGAGAAAGUGGUAUGAAAUAACACUGAGAGGCAUGGAUGUGUGUGUUAAAGAAGAGGAGGGAAGUGGCAGUGAAGAUAACAGAGGACCUUGUAUGCCACAGAAAACCACUGGCUUUUCUGAGUGAAAUAGGUAGGUUUUGAGCACCGGAGUUACAUGAACCAACUUGCAAUGAGCAGGAUCACUCUCAUUGUUUAUGUUAAUAACAGACUUCAGGGCACAUGGAUAGAAGAAGGGAGACCAGUUAAGAAGGAGGCUAUUAGGGCAGAUGCAGUGGCUCAUGCCUGUAAUCCCAGUACUUUGGGAGGCCGAGGUGGGCAGAUUGCUUGAGCCCAGGAGUUUGAGACCAGCCUAGGCAACAUGGCCAAACUUGAUGUCUCUGCAUAAAAUUAGCUGGGUGUGAUGAUGUGCGCCUAUAGUCUCAGCUACUCAGAAGGUAGCUUGACAGGAAGAUCGCGUAAGCCCAGGAGGUUGAGGCUGCAGUGAGACAUGAUUGAGCCACUGGACUCCAGCCUGGGUGACAGAGUGAGAGACACUGUUAAAAAAAAAAAAAAGAAAAAGAGGGGCCAUUAUGAUAAUCCAGGCAAGAGAACACUGUGGCAUGAACUGCCAGGGUGGUAGUGGUAAAAAGUGACCUGAUAUAUGAACAAUAUUCUAUAAAUUAGAAAGAACUACCACCUUUGUCAACUCAUUUGAUCUUUAAAAUAGCCUUUGAAGGAGGCAUCAUACUAUCUUUCAUUCAGAGGGGAGGGGACUCAGUGAAAAGAGACGGGAAGGACUUGCCCUGUCUUUUCCUAUUCCCUCUGCAGAUAGCCUACGGCAAAGCUCUACCUACCGCUCCUCAAUGUGUAUGGCUGACACUUGCUCUUCGAGGAGUGGUUGUCUCAGUCUGAGCAUGACUAACGCAGGUGAGGCACAUCCACAAGAGGCCAACUAACAAGCUCAUGCCUAAUCAUCGUGGUUAAUGCAGUAAGAGAGGAAACAGACUCAACAUCCAAAUUCUUUAAGACAAACAAUUCUAGGGCUAGCCAAAUGAAUCUUUUCAUAGAGUUAUGAAGACCAUCAGGCUGUAAAGAGAUUUAUGCAAUGACCUGGCAGACAGACUCAUAGUGUGUUUCCAAGGAAGGCGGGAGAUGCUUAGGGGACAACAGUACCAUUUGAGGCCAGUACCAGGAGGGCAGCCUAUCCACAAAGUACUUUUCUCAGAAACAGGGCCUUGGGGAAGAUAAAAAUAACAGUAAUUCCCCUCAUACCUGGGGAACGAUUUAGUUUCCAAAAUGAUUCCAUAUCCCUUCUUUCAUUUGAUCCUUUUAACACUCCUGUGGAAAGACCAGGUUGGUGUCACCAUCUCCAGUUUGCACAUGAGGAACAUUCUGCAUAUGAGGAAGACCUGAGAGGUGAGACGACUGACCCAAAUCUCAAGGCAAGGCAGCUGAGGCUAGAAUCAACGCUCAGCUCUGCCUCUACCUGAGAGCCCUUUAGAUUCCAUUUUGCUGCCUUGCUGGGUUUAGGGUAGGGGUAAGGGCACCACAGGCUUCUUCCCACAACUCAGCCUUCCUGAAAACUCUUUCUGCUGAGGUGACUUUUUUCAUUGCAGGCUUUGCUAAUGGAGUCCUCCUAUACUUUCACACCUCACUCAUGCGUCCCUGGGCUGGAGGCCGGAACCAAGGUGUGGAAGUGACAUUCUUCUGGCUCCCCUCUGCUGCUUCUAGACCAUCCUCCUAUGAAAGCUCACGUUAUUUGGAGGCCAAACAUGUACCCAAUCAUCAGCUCUUCCUUCUCACUAUUAUUUAUAGAUGUCUGGGUUUCUAUCCCUUGGUAAAUGAAGACUUUUCUUACUUAGCUCACUACCCACUGUUCCACCCCAACUUCUGCACUAAUCCUUGCAGGCAAUCCAUUCAGCUACCAUGCCUCCAGUGACUCUCACCUCCACUCUACUCCAAAUACCUACUACUAGUGCUACUGCUUGGCUCCUGCAAUCCCUUGGAACAAAUCCACUUAAGAAUUUUAAGCAUCCCAUUCUCUGACCCCAGCCUUACAUCUUUCUAGCUCUCUUGGGACUUAUGUCCACUCUAACCAUUAUAUCACAAAGUUCUUUGGCAUGUCAAACUUUCCAUUUUCCCUAUCCUAAUUUAGCCUUGCAUCCUUCCCACCCUGCCUUCCCACAUCUAGCGGAUGAUGAUUCAAACUGCUCUUCCUGAUUACUAAUUUCUUUACAUACUCUCCCUCUUUCUCCCAGCUCUUGCUCUACUAGCUCAGCAAAACCCCCCUUAAUUCUCAAGCUGUCUUUUCUCAUCCUGUAUCUAUUAGGUUCCUAAGAACCACAGAAGAAAACCAUAGCUUUUGCAAACUGGCCAACUGGUCUCCCAGUAUAGCUGGGUCCUGAUGUUUCCUGCAAAUCAUCUUUGGUCCAUUUUUCUCCAUCUUCUUUAAGAUUAGUCCAGUCUUGGCUGGGCAUGGUGGCUCAUGCCUGUAAUACCAGCACUUUGGGAGGCUGAGGUAGGCAGAACAUGAAGUCAGGAGAUUGAGAUCAUCUUGGCUAACACGGUGAAACCCUGUCUUUACUAAAAAUAUAAAAAAUUAGCCGGGCAUGGUGGCUUGUACCUGUAGUCCCAGCUACUAGGGAAAGCCGAGGGGACAGAGCAAGACUACAUCUCAAAAAAAAAAAAACCCCAAAAACCCAGACUAAUCCAGUCUCUCAGCUCUUCUAACCCCUUCUUUGAUCAGCCCUUUGUCUAUUCACUGAUAGACACUCAAUCUUCCUUCCUCUCUCAGAGAAAGUGAGCCUCCUUUUGGCUUAAGACGGAUCCCUCUGCCUAUGCCCUUGAUCCUACCAUGCCUAAGGCCUUACUUUUCCUCUUUGCUAUAUUCUUAAUUGCUGCUUUUUAGAAGGUACAAGUUGUUUGCUGAUAUACGUGCUUGAAGGGCUCCCAUUCUAAAAGAUCUUCUUUGACUUACAGUCCUACUCAUCACCAGCUUUUUUUCUCAUUAAAGUCCCCAUUGAUAUCCUACUCAGUGCAACCUGCCUUCACCCCUCUACCACAGCACCAAGGCUACUCUAAGAUCACCAAUUACUCACUAAUGGUGGAAUCCAAUAGAUGUUUCUCAGUCCCCUUUUUGCCAGAACUUUGUUAUGCUGUGCUCUCCUUCAAACACUCUCUGUACUCCUGGCCACCACAAUAUCAAAUUCUUCUCACUUUGAAUUUUCUAAAUUGUCCCUCACUUUGACUACUCCUUCUCCUUGGUGGGCUCCCUUUCCUGUUACCACCUACUAAGCUUUGCUGAUUCCCAGGACUUCAUCUUUGAUUAACUGUUCUAUUCAUUCACUACAAUACUUCCGAGAAGUCAGUAUCAUUCGCCCUAAAAUUUCAACUGCUGUUUAUAUGCUGGUGACUCUUAAAUAACGUCAGCCCAGCACUCUUCCCUGAGGAUUGGAUCUGAUAGCCACUGCCUGUUAGAUAUCAUCUACAUGCCCAUGGGCUCCCCAGCCUUCCUUCUCUUCUAUGGUGGGUUCCCUCUCUGUUAAUGGCACCACCAUCUAUACAGCCACCACAUCGAGAAACCUGGGAGACAUUCCUCACUCCCUUCCCUUCUUCCUCACAGUCCUCAAAUCUGAUGAAAUUUACCUUGUGAACCGUUUUCAAAUCCACUCUCUCUUCUCUAAACCUCUGUCUCUGCCCUAACCUAGGCCUGUGUCACUUCGGACCUGGCCCACUCGAGUAACCUCCUAACUUGUUUAAGUUUCUUAGUCUUGUCCCUCCUCAAAUCCACACUCAACAAAGUAAUCAAUAAUCUAUUCAAAACACAAAGCUGUUUUGCCUCUAAUUAAAAGCCCACUUAAGAUCUUCUAUGAUAUGUGCCUUGACCUUUCCAGGCUUUUCUCUUUGAGUGUCAGUAUUACAUUUUGUGGUUGAGCAAUUCCAAACUGCAUGCAGUUCCUGGUAUAAUCCGUGCUAUUUCUUAUUCUUUUGUCCUUAUUCAUGUUGCCCCGCCCCCUUCCUGAAAAGCUCUCCCUCCUCUACCAGCCCUGCUAUGGCCAUUUAUACAGUCUUAGGCAAGGCAUCACUUCCUCAAGAAAGUGUCCCUUGAACACCAAGCUUGGGUUAGGUAUUCCUUCUUGCAAUUUUCAUACUACCCACAACAAAUCUCUGUCACUGCACUCAAGACACUGUUUUAUAAUUUAAGUGUCUGUCUCCCCAUAAUACCUCAAAGACAAAAAGUGACUGAUUAUUGUUUCCCCAUGCCAAAUACAGAUGGAGUUCAAAUACAUAGUUAAUGGAUGAAUGAAUGAAUGAAUCCUUCCCUGACCCUUUUGGGUCUAGUUCUUUGGCUCUUAGUUUCUGUUAUACUCAAGCCAAUCUCAGAGCUCCAAUUACUCCACCCAUAUGUAAGGCCAGGCACAAAAGUAAGUCCAGCCCCUAGUCCCACCACCAGGCAGAGGGCAACAGAGCUAGGUCCUCUCUGGCCUCCCAGAUCUCAGGAAGGAAGUGAAGGAAAGAGUGAGGGAGGGAAGGAGGGCCAGGAUUCUAGUAAGCUUACCCCUGGAGCAUAGCCUGCGCACAGCUGAGGCAGUGCUAGUUGGGAGGCCACAGGAUGGAAGUAAGGGCCAGUGCCUUUGGGAGGUGCUGACAAGGUUGGUGGUAUUCGAGGCAGAGUCCAUUGAAUCUGAGUGUGGUUCCAAGGACCGGGACAGAGUAUUCCCCAGGAUAAAGGUUUCACCUGAAAAACAGUAAAACCAGAGUUAGAGCUUAGAAGGACUGCCAAAGUGCUGGAUCCCAGGUACCUGUUCGAGUGGAGCAAGCAGCAGCAAAAGAGAAAGCCCUGGGCAGGGACUCAGGAGGCCUGUGUACCAGUCAGGGUUGUAGCUCUCAUUAGGGGACCUUAGUCAAGUUCAAUGCCACUCUCUGGACUUCAGCCUCUUUAGAAAUUCUUUGUUGGGACGAGGUGGUCUUUGAGGCUUCUUCUGGUCUAGACGCCCUAUGCUUCUUCUGGAUAAGGAAAAUCUUAAACAAAUGGAGCUAUUCUAAGAUGGAAGAAACUGCCUGAGACACAAGAUCCUAGAACUGGGAUAUAUUUGCUUAGAUGAGAGUACUUUAAAAGGUGACCCUCUGCUCAACCAGCAGGACAUGUCAGAAAUGCUUCUUGAUGCCUUGUUAAAGGCUUGUUUGCAAAGGAUCUGCUCCCAUGUAUCAUCUCUCAUUUUUUAUUUGCCCAAUUCUACAGAAAUACUUCAACGAAGCUGGGUUUGAUGAGUGCUGAGCUUGGGCAUGGGGAUCAGAAUCGGGUAGAAUUUGGCUCUGCCACUCAGCAGACUGCUUCUCUGGGAACUUUAGUCUCCUCAUCUACAACAUGGGAAGCCCCAUUCUUCCAAAGAGCUUGUGAAUAUCAGAAAAGAAUGGCUAUGAAAGCCUUUACUUGUAAAGGGAAUUUUUUUAAGGUGAAUUUUUUUGUGUUAUGUCUUAUGCACUGUAUUUUUAUAAUAAAAUAAGAUACAGGAAAAUGUUAUUAAGAAAAUUAUAAGGAAGAGGACAUAUAUUUAUUAUUCAUUUGGUGGAAGUGGAUCAUUUUCAUGUUUAGUAGGCUGGGCAGGAGGAAGAAGAGGAAGGGUUGGUCUUGCUGUCUUAAGGGUGGCAGAGGUGGAAGAGGUGAAGGAGGUGGAAGAGGUGAAGGAGGUGGAAGAGGUGAGGAGGGGAGGCAGGAGAGGUAGGCACACUUGGUGUAACUUUAUGGAAAUAGGUCAUAAUUUCUUUUUAAUUUUUUUAAAGACAGGGUUUCACCAUGUUGGUCAGGCUGGUCUUGAACUCCCGACCUCAGGUAAUCUGCCCGCCUUGGCCUCCAAAGUGCUUGGAUUAUAGGCGUGAGCUACCACGCCCAGCAAUAGGUCAUAAUUUCUGUCUGACGUUUUGCUUUUUUAUUUCUCAAAAAGUGAUUCUGUAUGGUACCAAUCCUUCUUCUGCCAUUUGCUUUAAUUUCAGUGCCCAUAUCAUAGAUGGUCCAUAUCAUAUAAGAAACCAAAAACAGUCUUGAAUAAUCAGAACACUUCUGCCAGAUCGUCUAAUGUCAAUUUGUUUUCUGGCACUGCACUGUUUUUUCUAUGCCUUCUUUCUCAUCAUCUGGCACUGGUUUGGAAGCACUUAUCUCUAUCAAGUCAUCAUCUGUUGAUUCCUCUGGUUUGGUGUCUAUUAGCUCUUGAAUUCCUCCAAGAUCCACAUCUGGAAACCACGUCUGCCCCCCACCUUUCUGCCAUAACCACAAUCUCUUUUAUGAUUUUUUUGAUUGGCUGUAUCGUAAAUCCUGUAAAGUAGUGCUCAGCAUUUGGACACAGUUUUCUCCAGCAUAAAUGCAUUGUUUCAGACUUGAUGGCUUUCAUGGCAUUUUCUGUAAUAACAACAUCAUCUCCAAUGGUGUAAUCCUUCCAGACAGACUAGAUGAUGCUCUGUCUUUAAGGGUUCUCUUCCGUAGCACUGACAAUCCUUCCAUAGAGUGCUGUGUAUAAUGAGCCUUUAAGGUCCUUAUGAACCCUGAUCUAGGGACUGAAUUAGAGACAUAGUGUUUGGGGGUAAUUAGACCAUUUUGAUGCCUACCAUGUUGAAUUCAGGUUCUGGGUGCCCAGGAACACUGUCCAGUAUCAAAUGAACUUUAAAAGGCAGUCCCUUACUGACAAGGUACUUCCUGAUGGGACAAAACUGAUAAAACUAAUCCAGAAAAAGCAUCUUACUUUUCAGGCCUUCUUGAUUUAUAACCAAAAGACAGGUGGCUCGUGUUUAUCUUUUCUGUAAAGGGAAUCUCACCCUGAUGUUUCUACACCCAGUCCAUGGCCCAACACCAGGCGGCAGCACCCAAUCACUGUACACAGAACCCAAAGAAGACUCCCUCUCAUGAUUGGGUUCUACCCAAACCAAAUCAGUUCCUCAACCCAGGCCACAGAAUUAUCUGCUUGUGGAGGAUGUCUUGAGUACUGGAAUAUAACACUGUCCUUUAUCAUUUUCGUAGACAUCACAUGGUUAGAUAAUGCUUGGGAUUCAUUCGGAGCCUCUGAGGAACACUAAAUUUGAGUACAUUGUUUGGCACAAAGUUAAGACCUCAAUGUUAAGAUAAUUUAGGGUUUUAGGACUGCUUUCUCAUAGUUACCUAAAAUUGCUUGGCAACUCUGGGCUCAAAGUCAAAUCUAGGGUUAGAUAGCUAUUCACCCUUCUAUCAAAGAGGCUAAUGUUGAAGCCCUUUCCUAGAAGUGGUUCUGAAAAGGUAAGUCUUUGAGGGUCCAUAAUACCUAAACCAUAUCCCACCCUCCUUUCUGCAGAUGAGGGUUCUGAUUCCUAUUUUUCAGGAAAAAUGACGCACAGGGUCCCACUUUGAGACACGAACAAGAACCCAGUCCAGGAAAUAGGAGACCUGGGUUCUACACCUGGACUCCUGCCUUUUACUAGGAAUGUGAUCCUAGACAAGUAGCUUGUCUUCUCUGAGCACCAAUUUCUUCAUGUAAAAUGGAGAAAAUCAUCUCCUAUCAUGCUGAGAACAUGAAAUGAGAAAAUGGAACAGGAUGAACUUUAUGAAUGUAAAAAGUUGUUAUUUUGUAUUUCAUUCAGAGUUGAAGUGGUAAAUCUAAGCUGUCUGUGAUAGUUCAAGAAAAAGAUUUCAUCCAGUUUCUGCACUUAAUCAGCAGGAUAACCUCACCCUUCUAGUUCUCAUUUUAUUCAGCUAAGACUGGGGAUAGUAUUGUCUGCCUCACAUGAGCUAACAGAUGUGAAGAAUAAUUAUGAUGACAAAGCGGGGGCUCUGCAGGUGCUGAUGCAAACCACUGAGUGUCUCUUCUUCUCAGCAAUGCAAGAAUACUAAGAUGUAGAUUCUGAGUUGAAGGGUCUGAAAAUCUGGACUGCUGGCAAGUCAUGAAAUCUUAUCCUAAUGAGAGGUACUGAAAAAAUGAAGCAUCAUGCUCCAAAGCUCUAGGAGGUCCUAGUCCGCACAAGGCUGCAGUGUGGACAGAAGACUGCAAUUUUUUUUUUUUAAUUUUUUUGAGACAGAGUCUUACUCUAUCACUCAGGCUGGAGUGCAGUGGCACGAUCUCACUGCAUUCCACUGCAACUUCCGCCUCCUGGAUUCAAGUGAUUCUUGUGCCUCAGCCUCCCAAAUAGGUGGGACUACAGGGUACAUGCCAUCACACCUGGCUGAUUUUUUUUGAGAUGGUGUUUUGUUCUUUUUGCCUAGGCUGAAGUGCAAUCUCAGCUCAUUGCAACCUCCACCUCCUAGGUUCAAGCAGUUCUCCUGCUUCAGCCUCCCGAGUAGCUGGGAUUACAGGCAUGUACCACCACACCCAGCUACUUUGUAUUUUUAAUACAGAUGGGUUUUCUCCAUGUUGGUCAGGCUGGUCUCGAACUCCCGACCUCAGGUGAUCCACCUGCCUUGGCCUCCCAAAGUGCUUGGAUUACAGACAUGAGCCACCGCACCUGGCCUGAUUUUUUCUUUUUCUUUUUUUGUAUUUUUAGCAGAGAUGUGAUUUAGCCACGUUGACCAGGCUGGUCUUGAACUCCUGGCCUCAAGUGAUCUGCCCACCUUGGUCUCUCAAAGUGUUGAGAUUACAGGCGUGAGCCUCCACAGCUGGCCUGAAGAUGCAAUACUUUCAAACUGUGCUCUACAGAGCCUUUGGGCCAUCCAUAGGGAGGCCAAGUAAUUAGAGCUAUGGGCCUCAUCCCAGCUUCUCUCAAAACUACUCUGGUUUUGGCUGGGCGCAGUGGCUCACGCCUGUAAUCCCAGCACUUUGGGAGGCUGAGGCGGGCUUAUCACCUGAGUUUGGGAUUUCGAGACCAGCCUAACCAACAUGGAGAAACCCUGUCUCAAAAAACAAAAAAAACAAAGAAACUACUCUGGUUUUAAUUUUUGUGCACUGCAGUAUAUACAAAUUUUAUAUACAAUUUUACCUUUGCACCCCCCCCCUUUUUUUUAAAGGAGUUCUGUUGCUAAAACAAAAUAGACUUUGAAACCACUGGCCCAGGUGUCAGAGAAUGGGGCUGGAAAACUUGAUUAGUCAAUGAUCACUGCAUUUUUAUGGGAUAUCUUUGCUCAACUAUAAAAUAAAAAUGAAAAAAAAAAAAAAACGCUUAAACUUCCCAGGGUCCAUGUAAAAUUUACUAUUGAUAUGCUGGAGAUAUGGGAGCAAUUGUGAUCCAAUAAACAUUUGUUGAGCAUCCCUUGUGUGUGUGACAGCCACUAUGCUAGGUAUGGUACAUGCAGAGGUAAACAGAUAGAUGAAGACCUAACCCUUAUACAUUUAUUUUCAGUGAGAAGCAGCUCUUCUCAGAGUAUCACAUUGCAAAGCUGACCUUAGAAAUUAUAGAGUUCCCAGUGGAGGAUGAUCAGAGUGGUGGUGAGGAACCUCAAGAUCAUGGCAAAGGGGAAAGGCCCUGGGAAGGCUCUUCUGAAAAAAGUCAAGGGAGAGAAAUACCUUAAGGGCGGUCAUGGGAGAAGAGGAGGAUUGGAGGUAGAUUUGCUCUUUCGGAAUACAGAGUAGAAUGAGGGUAGGAGUUGUAAGGAGGCAGAUUUCAGCUUAAAAAGGAGGACAUUUUAGCAAUCAGAACUGUCUGACAGUAAAAUCAACUGCCAAAGAUAGAACCUGUCAUCAGGAGUAUUUAAGCAGAGAUCAGAUGACCACCCUCAUGUGUUGGGUUAGACACUAGCUCAUCUCCAAGAUGCAAAGAUUCCAUGCUAAUAACCAAGCUUUCCCCUUCGUGGGGGUGAACUGAGUGACUAAGGAACUAGAGCUGUUGAUCUAAGAAAAUUCUUAACACCAACACCGGACCCAAAGACAUAGCACAGUCCUGUGGAUGUUUAAGUCACUCUCAACAUUAAAAAAAAAAAAAUCCCUCUCUCAACCACUUCCCACAUCCUUUACUAUGCUUUCAUUUAACAAAUACUAUUAAAUACUCACCAUGUUACAGUUAGGAUGAUGGAUACUGAGAAUGGUGAAAACAAUAUUGUCCCUACCAUCAUGGAACAUUAACUAUGGUGGGGUGGAUGACAAAAUACAAGUAGCUAAAAAUAGUAGCAACUAUUGUAGUUAUAACAAAGGAAAGAAAAGGAUAUUAAGACAGACUGUAUCAGAGGCAUCUCUUUUGGAUGAGGAGAGCCUUGGAGGUCUUCCUGACACCCUUAAGUAUAAGCUGUGGUCCCAAGAGGGUCUACCUGAAAAGCAGAGGUGUGCCAGACAGUGUGCUUCAAUGAAUUAUGAGCAGUUGCAUAAUCUUAAAACUGACAAUUCUAUGAGGAAACCCAUGUGGGGAUCAGGGCACAUCCUGAUAUUUCAGUUUUUAUUUGGCUUUAACCACUGUGAAUCUUGGGAUUUUGGCAGGAGAACUACUUUGUAACUAACUCAGAAGACCUGGAUGACAACUGGAAAGAAAGGCACAAGGAACCAUUGUCAUGGGCAAUGAACCACUUCCUCAAACAGACAGGAACCUGAGAAAUGCCAAAACAGUAGACUCAGAGUUUAAUGCUGGGUAGAUUUCAAUUACAGCUAAAAUUAAUAGUCACUGGGACCAGUGAAAUCAAUACAAUCUCCUGCCUAAUACUGAGCCACUGCACCUGCUGGGCCUCUUUUAGUCUUGACCAGCCUUUUACUUGAUCCAGCCACAUGUAUAGUUCUGAAGCAGAGACUCUGCUCUGACAUUGCCUCCCCCAGGAAUCCUCCCUUGACUUCUUCUUUCAUUGUACUUCUUACUCAUCAUAGCUUGCUGUGCCAGAAUACCUCUGUGCUCUGCUUUGACCACAUAUAUGUUCAUGUAUUUUUCCUUGUCUUAGCUCCUUGAGUGCAGGAAUGGAGCCUGUCUCACCUCUGUCUGACUAGAGUCUAGUAUAGAAUCUGGCACAGAGUAAGUAUUUGUAAAUAUUUGAUUACCUAAACUAAAACAAUUGGCCUGGAUCACUCAAAAUGCCAAUGUCAUGUUGUGAGAGAUAGAAAAAAAAGCUGGAUAACUGUUCUAGAUAAAGGAAAGAGACAGGACAAUGAAAUGCAGUGGAUGAGCCUUUAUUGGAUCCUGGAUUAGGAAAAAAGAGUUAUAAAGGACAUUACUGUGACAACUGGGGGAAAUUCUAAUAUGAACUAUGUAAGAGCUAGUAGUAUUUUAUUUAAUUAUUAUUAUUAAUAUUUGAGAUGGAGUCUCACUCUGUCGCCCAGGCUGGAGUACAGUUGCACAUUCUUAGCUCACUGCAACCUCAGCCUCCUGGGUUCAAGCGAUUCUCUUGCCUCAGCCUCCUGAGGAGCUGGGAUUAUAGGCAUGCACCACCACACCUCACCAAUUUUUUGUAUUUUUAGUAGCAAUAGGGUUUCACCGUGUUGGCCAGGCUGGUCUUGAACUCCUGACCUCAAGUGAUCUGCCCACCUCGGCAUCACUAUGGGCUGGGAUUACAGGCGUGAGCCACUGAACCCGGCCUAAUAGUAUUUUAUUAAUGUUAAAUUUCUUGAUCAUAAUAAUACCAUUAUGCUCCUUAUUCUUAGGAGAUUCUUAGGAGAUGCACGCAAAAGCAUUUAAGGAUAAAAUCUCUCAUCUGCAAUUAACUCUCAAAUCGUUCAAUAAACAAAAACCAUAUUUUAAAUAUGUAAAUAUUCAACAAGUACAUAUAUUUAUGUGUGUGUGUGUGUGUGUGUGUGUGUGUGUGUGUGUGUGUAUAUAUGUGAGAAACAGAUGAAGUAAAUACUGCAAAAAGUUAAGUGGUAAACCUAGGCAAAGAGUUCAUGUUUGCUCACUGUUCUAUUUUUGUACCUUUUCUGUAGGUUUGAAAUUUUUUAAAUAAAACAUUGGAGAAAAAAGUAAUAGUCUCAACUUAAGUUUGAAGCUUAAAGGGAUAUGAAAUCUACCUGAGCUCUGGGAGACUAUCUGCUAUAUGAGAAGUGCAUGGUCAGUUGGGCCAGGACCAUAAGUGGUAGGGUAGUGUGGAGACAAGGCUAUAGGAAAGGGAGAGGGUCCAGUAAGCACCCAGGUAACAGAGGUGGUACCUAUGGAUGUCUAGUAGAAGUGUGUAGCCAGGUGGAAGGGCAGGAGUCGUAAAUACCAGAUCCAAAGGGCAAAGCAAAAGAUAGCUUUUGUACAGAUCGUGCUCUUUGGCAGAGGUUUGGGUAAGUAAUCAGAAAACCACAGGAAAUGAUAAGAUCAGAGGUGGGGCAAAGGGUCAGUAAAGCAGGCAAGCAGGCAGGAAGGUAGGCAGGCAGGCAAACAGAAAUGAUACACUAAGAAGCACAGAGGAUUUAGAAGUUUAGGCAGGAUUAUGGCUUGUCUGGGCAUAGUUAAAGGCUAAUUUCAGGGAAGCAAACGGAAACUGGAGUGACAGCAGACAAGUUGCUGAGCACCCACUAUGAAAAACAGCUUAAGAGCAGAGGAGGACACAAAGAGUGGGCUCAAUCUGUCUGAAAAUAGGGAAGGGAGAGGAAGCAGCCAAUGGCAGAAUGUAAUACCUUGGUCUUUGUUUCUCUUAGUUGGUGAGGCAAGAAGAGUCUGGCUACAGUUUGCUUCCUCUUACUGAGUAGCUGAAUCAGAGGAAUUCCCAGGAAAGGUCAUGUCCGGGUUCCAAACCACCUUUGGGACUGCAGGCCCAUGAGCUCUACCAUGCCCAGCAGUCCAGACUCCCAGUGCAACAUUCUAACUGUAAGUCAGAAUGCCUUUUUCUAUUUUCAAAGACUCUGGUACUGAAAGAAAGCAAUCUAGCACGGGUUAGAAGAGAAGCUUCCUCCACAGAAAAGGAUCAGCCAGGGGAUCACAGAAAUGGCUGCAGGGAUCAGAUGGUCUGGCUUCCACAGAGAGUAUUUAAUUCAGGUAUCAUUUGGACCUGCUUGCAAGUCACAUAAGCUAUAUGCAUUUGGGUACAGAAGUAUCUGUGAGGGAAAGGGGGAAGAGGAAUGAGUGAACAGUCACUUCCCUGGGCACAGUUUCUGGAAGGAGUGCUUUUAUCAGAGGUGAUUCUGUUAAGACUGUGAUGAAAAGACACCAUGGAAGGCAGCGUGGGAAUAAGACUUGUUUGUAUAGAGGAAGGUUGGAAAAGACACCUUUCAGACUUGUGUCCUCCUAUCAACAGACAGCACAGUGACCAUGCUGGCAGCUCCCCUCUCUAUUUCCCUGCUUAGGACACGGUCUGCAGGGAUUUUUUUUUUUUUUUGAGACGCAGUUUCGCUCUUGUUACCCAGGCUAAAGUGCAAUGGCGUGAUCUUGGCUCACUGCAACCUCUGCCUCCUGGGUUCAGGCAAUUCUCCUGCCUCAGCUUCCCGAGUAGCUGGGAUUACGGGCACAUGCCACCGUGCCCAGCUAAUUUUUUUUGCAUUUUUAGUAGAGACGGGGUUUCACCAUGUUGACCAGGAUGGUCUUGAUCUCUUGACCUCAUGAUCCACCCGCCUCGGCCUCCCAAAGUGCUGGGAUUACAGGCGUGAGCCACUGCGCCGGGCCCUGCAGGGAUUUUUUAAGGGCCUUUCCUCCCUCUCAGUAACGACCUACCUUGCUAUGUUUAAGGCUGAGCUUUCCUUUCCUCCCUUGUUCUGUGUCCCGGAUUCCAGAUGAGAGAGGCAGAGUUCCACUGAAUCUUUAAUCUCUCUCGGAAGUACUUAGUCACUGAUCUGGCCACGUGGCAUCUGCUUUCCCAUUGUGGGUCUGGUAUGUUAACUAAGAAAGUUAUUUUCCAGCCUAGUUAGAAAUAGCAGGAACUUGAAUUGACUUGCUAGACUGGCAGUGCUGGAAGUUAGGGCCAUGUGCCAAACGAAAAAGUAGAUGGCCAAUCACCAGGGAGCAAAUUUCUCAAUCUGUAGCCUGAAACUAAACCUUCCUUCUGGCAAGGGAGAUCUUGUUAGGCCUUUGCUGCCGGUUCACAAUGGAAGACGUUCUGUGACUUCACGGUUGCUCCACAUGUAGUCUGAAGCUCAGAAGGGGAAUUGCGAACCACCUUUUAUCUAGGGAUAAGGAUCUAGACCAAAAAUAGGGGUAAUCCUAGAGACAGAAAACAAAAUCCUAAAGAAAAAGUAAAGAUGAGAGGAGACUGAAAAUUCUCAGAUAUGACAAAGGUAAGGGACAGAAAAGCAGAUCUCUGGAGAGUAAGUGCCAGGCCAAUAUUUCUGAAGGCUGGCACCUGCAGGUGCUGCUGCUAGCCCUGUCCCGACUCUCAGCCCAGGCCCCAUCCCAACUCCUACCUGGU